AAAUGGAGAACAGCUGCUCACGCUCGUCGUCUGACAUCAGCUAUUUCUCAGGAUGACCCUGCGAGACAGGCCAGGGUCAUUAGACCCAAUUUGGUUCUCAGCAAAUAUGUGUUUAUUCCUGCAUGCGUGGGCCACAGGCUGGUUUCUUGGGUGCAAUGAAUAGCUGCAGGUUUAUUAGGGUGUCUUUUUAGAUGGAUGUAUGUUUCCCGAUGUCUAUAGAACACUCCGGACCCCGGAGAGUGAAGACUCUGCCUGUCGGACUUGCUUUGAGAAGAUCCUUCUCCACCUCCCCAUGGCAGAAGUUGCUUCACAGAGGGGAACAGUUUUAUGGAUGUGGCUGAGACCUUAAACUUGAGGCAACCCAUCUGAGGUGGCAUCCAGAGGAGACUGGCUGGCCCCUCCUUCACCUUGGAUGUAGUGCUGUUUCUAGGAUCUCUUUUCAAUCAGCAAAACAGGGGAUGUUCCAAGAGGGUGUGGAUUCCCUGCCAUCCCACAUGGUCAAGUGGAGGGGACGGGAAAAAGCUAUGAAGGGUUUGUGACCACACAGACUCUCCUGGCCCCCUGUCCUUUUGGAAAGAAGACAGGGAUGAAAUAUAAUCAAGCAAUUAACCACCCCCAUCAUCACCAAGAACAACAGUAUCAACAAGAAGAACAGGGACAACAAAACCCACGGAUGAAACAUUCCUUUCUCAGCUCAGAUCUUAUCUGGUGCGUUCUCUCUCUGCUCUGUCUUGGUGUGUGGUUUAGAGAAACAUGGACAACGCUGUUUGGAAGAACAGGGUCGAGCUGUUCCUGAUGUUUAUCGGAGACUGGGAUCAAAGCUAUCCAGGUCAUAAAUCUCUCUCUGUGGCUGUUGGGCCCCAGGGCAGCUGAAGAGGGUUGACAGCCCUUUGGACCUCAAAGGAAAAAAUGUGCUCUACUCCACCCACUCCCAGCUCUGCCAAGAAGCUGUCCUCUGAGAAGCCAUGGCUGGGCCGUUCCAUUCUGGGGAGCUGCUGAAAAGAGCUGGGAGGCCGAGAAGAACUUGCGUGUGCUGGGGGAGAGGAAGCCUGGCCUUGAGGGAGGGGUGCAGGUGUGGCUCCUCUGUGUGUGGGGGCUGGGGGACCUUGUGUGCCUUUUCCUUGUGGCUGUGAAAUGCUUUAUGAGUACUUCCAUAGGAGGAUGGACAGGGAGUCGGGGAGAUAAACUCAGCCACAAGGCCCCAGGGCCUCAGGAAACUUGCACCCAACCCUCUCAUUUUACAGAAGAAAACUGUGCCUGGAAGGUUGAAGGGUUUGUUCCCAGUCACACAACCAGGGAUCCUUAGGACAGCCAGACCAGGAAACCAUUUCCAAACUGCCAAGCCAUGGCAGAGUAUCAAGACCUCAGGAACCAUCGAGACACCAUGGAAGCAUUGGGAAAAGCCUCCUUAGCUUUUGAAGCUCCUCAUUGUUCUUGAGUGUGCAUGGAGCCCAUGACUGCGGGGUUUUGUAGACACCUCAGGGAUUACAUGACUGGUACCCCUGACAAAGUCAAGGCUGCUGGACAAAAUGAGUCCGAGGAUUUCAGGGGCAGCUGGGCGCAGGAGCUGGUGGGCUGUUGGGAGUGCCCCUUUACUGGGCAGGCUUCCUUCCUCCUGGUGAUGGGGGGUUCCUCAGCACAAAAGUGAAGGGGUGGAGGGGCUGGAGGAGCAGGAAUCUCUCUUGUUGAUAGGUAUGAGGCCUUGAAGUCCUUUUCUUUGUCCCAGGAUUCAUGGACGCUUCGGGGCUGAUCUUUGAGUUUUCAAGCAUGGGGUGCAGAGACGUUUAGGUAAACUCUUACCGUCCUCUCUCUUCGUCAGGGCUUCCCAGGAAUCAACAAUGCCCAAGAAGGAAGGGAUUGUAGAAAUAGCUUAACCCUUUCAUUUACCAACGUGGAAAUUGAAGCCCAGGGAAGGGAAGGGACCGGUCGUGGAAGGGAGAGCCAUCAGCAGAAAGAGACCCUGAGAUCUUCGCCUGGGAUUCCCAGGAAGUCCAGCCCGAGCUGAUUCACAGAACAAAUGCAUGCAAACCUUGCUAUCAAUAAAUUACACAUGCACUUACGUAAAACACAUAAAAAUAUAUGGCCUUGGUUUUGGAACAAUACCCCACAGAUAAAAGUAGCUUUAAAUCCUCCAUAAAAUGAUAAAGUCUAGUCCUAAACUCCUAGCAGUUCUGCGGGUGAUCACAGGCGGCAGGAGCCGCUCAAACUUUAAUGGCUUGGUAUCUCCACAUGUAGACAGGAGGCAGAAAACCAUCGGGGAUGAAGUCGUGGGCUCUAGAAUUGCAAAGACGUGGGUUCCAGGCCAGGCUUGGCCCUUGCUAACUGUUGACCUUGAGCAAAUUACCCAACCUGUUCCUUAUUUGUUUCUGCCUCAUAGGUAGUUGUGCAGAUGAAAUGAUAUCAGUUCUCAGAACAGUGCUGGGGACAGAGUACACUCUAUGCUCAAUACAUAUUCACUUUUAGAGAUAUCUUGGGAUUCUCAGUCUAAGUGACAUUCAAAAGUACCUCACUGGGAGGCAAGACCAAGGUGGAGCCUCCUCUUGGAUGGGAUGUGGGCCUAUUUUAUUUUACUUCUUUAUUUUUGUAGGUGCAUGCCACCACACUUGCUAAUUAAUUUUUUUUUUUUUUUUUUGUAGAGAUGGGGUCUCACUAUGUUGCUCAGGCUGGUCUUAAACUCCUGGCCUCAAGCAAUCCUCCUGCCUCAGCCUCCCACAGUGCUGGGAUUACAGGCAUGAACCACUGAGCCCGGCACCUCUAUUUUAAAUCUAUUUUAUCUUUUGAGAUAUAGUCUUGCUCUGUCACCCAGGCUGGAGUGCAGUGGCGCGAUCUCAGCUCCCUGUAACCUCUGCCUCUCGGGUUCAAGCAAUUCUUCUGCCUCAACCUCCCAAGUAGCUGGGACUACAGGCGCCCGCCACCACGCCUGUCUAAUUUUUUGUAUUUUUAGUAGAGACAGGGUUUCACCAUGUUAGCCAGGAUGGUCUUGAACUCCUGACCUCGUGAUCUGCCUGCCUCGGCCUCCCAAAGUGCUGGGAUUACAGGCGUAAGCCACUGCACCCGGCUAUUUUAAAUCUACAGACAAAUCACCCAUGAAGUGCAGUGGGGGAAUAGAGGGCUGGGCUCAGUUAAUUCAGAAGAAGAUUUAUCCCAGGAUCAGGAAAUGAGAGUUUCAGAUGUUGCCAGUAGCUUAAGUGGCUUUUAGGGCCUUUUUUCUGUCUGGCCAGGGCUCAUCCUGGGCUGAGCUUUAAGGCCUGUUAGGGGCUGAAUUCUGUCCCCCUCAAAGUUUAUAUGUUGAACUCAUAACCCCAGUACCUUAGACUGUGACUGUAUUUGGAGAUAGGGUCUCUAAAGAGGUAAUUAGGUUAAAAUGAGGUCACUAGGGUGGGCCCUAGUCCAAUAGAAAUGUGUCCUUGUUGGAUAAGGGGCAACGUGGACACAGACACGUGCAGAGGGGAGCCCCUGUGAAGAAGCGGGGAGAAGACAGUCACCUGCAAGCCACAGACGGGGCCUGUGAAGGAACCAAUCCUGUCAAUACCUUGGUCUUGGUCUUGGCCUUCCAGCCUCCAAAACCCAGAGGCCAUCAAUUUCUGGUGAGGCAGCCCUAGCCGCCUUUCUAAGCGUUCAUACUCCUGGUUUGGCAGAGGGGAAGGGACCACGGCCAGCGCUUCUUAAACCUUCGUGUGUGUGAAACUCACUUCCUGGGGAGCUGGAUCAAGAUGCAGAUUCUAUGACCAUCUAGUUUCCCCUUUCUCAUCCCUUAUCUAAUUUGCUCCUCUGUGGAACUGUGUGAAGUAGACAGGGCAAGAAUUUUCAUCCCCAUUUUCCAGAUUAAGAAACUGAGUCUCAGAUGGAAGAAUCACAGCAAGUGAGAGGCAGUCAAGCCUCCAACUCAGGUCAAGUGAGGCGUCCUCACAUCCCAUGCCCCCCGUAAUUUCCCGAUCCCUAGCAGGGGCACCUGGGGAGACUCCCUGGUGAUGCUGUGUCAGGACUCCCUUCUUUAUUUUGAGACAGAGUUUCACUCUUGUCACCCAGGCUGGAGUGCAGUGGUGUGAUCUCAGCUCAUUGCAACCUCCACCUCCCAGGUUCAAGCAAUUCUCCUGCCUCAGCCUCCCAAGUAGCUGGGAUUAUAGGUGCCUGCCACCAUGCCUGGCUAAUUUUUGUAUUUUUAGUUGAGACGGGGUUUCACCAUGUUGGCCAGGCUGGUCUUGAACUCCUGACCUCAGGUGAUCCACCUGCCUCGACUUCCCAAAAUGCAGGGAUUACAGGUGUGAGCCACCGUGCCUGGCAGGGCUCCCUUUUUGACAGACACUGUCUUAGACCUCAGGCUCCCUCAGGCCUUCGCUCUUGGGGGUUGGAGCUGAGGGGAGGAUGGAAAGUGUCCCUCCCCAUCACAGCGCAGCUAGCUGGUGAGAGGGGCUGGGAGCUCCCGGAUCUGUCUGGACAUGCAGCCACUCCUGGCAGUCCCCACCCCUCCUUCCACCCAGCCCCUCUGCCUUCCAGCAAGUGAAUGAAGUCAGGCAGGCCCUGGGCCAUCCCGGGUGAAGGAGGGAGUGGGCAUGGCUUGGCACUCCAAGGGCUCGCCAUUGGGAGGGGCGUGGAGACGGUGUGAACUCCUUGGUGUCUUGCUCUUGUCAUCUUCCAGCAUGACAUAUGCACAAAGGUACCUUUUAUAGGUGGGAAAUUAUAGGUGCUGCCACUUCAAAGGCCUUGGCAACCAGAGCUCCUCUUUGAUAGAUGACAGUAUUAUUAAUGGUGAUUUAUUGCUGGGGCCAUUUUGACAACAGAAAUAACCAGUUUCCCCACCUUUUCGGCUCUCUUCUCCCACACCUUCCUGGGGAUUUUUUUUUAUUUUGGCUGGCCCUGUGUGUUUUUCUGGCUGCAGGGGUUACCUCCCUGCACGAGGAGGCAUGGGAGGUAACCCAUGGAGCAUCUGCUUAAGGCACAUAGUGAGGCAUCUGGCUUAUUAACUUGUCAUCAUGUGUCAUAAAGUUUAGUGAAAUGCUGGCAGAUUGUAAUCCUAAACAGGGCAAUUACCCUCUUAUUAAAGCAGUACUUUUUCUGUCUGUCUGUCUGUCUCUCUCUUAUUUUUCUCUCUCUCCCUGCCUCCACCCCCUUUCCUGGGAUUGUUGUUACCUCUGCCCUACUUGCACAAUUAGUCAUGAGCGGAGGUCACCUGCUUCAUAAUGAUCCCAGAGUAGGCCUGGCCUUGGCGGGGCAGAGCUGAAGGGGAAGGGGCAAAGGAGAGCUAACCAUGGUGAGGCUUGCUGCAGCAAGCUGGCCUCACGGGGCAUGGGGACAAGGCGCUGUCCCAGGCGGGAGGCUGCAGUAAGAAGGUUGUGGUCUGAGGUUUCUGGCUGCAGGCAGCGAGAAGGAGAGAGGAGAGAGAGCUGACAGGAGCGACUGAGCCUCUGUGGACUUCGCCGCUCACCCAGAUUUUCCGGCAGAGAUGCCUCCCUCUGCCUUUUUCUCCCUCACUUUCGUAUCUCGAAACACAGGUGGAAAAUAAGAAAGGAAGUGGCAGUGGGUGAUGGGGGCCUGGGACAUGAGGACUCCUCACUUGAUCUGAAUUGGAGGCUUGGCUGCCACUCACUUGCUAUGAUUCUUCCAUCUGAGACUCAAUUUCUAAAUCUGUGAAAUGGGGGUGAAACAUCUUGCCCUGUCUGCUUCCCACAGUUUUAGGGAAGAUCAAAUUAGAAAAGGGAUAGGAAAGGGGAUGGCUCAUGGUAACUCACUCCACAAAUCUGAGGGAUGAUUGUAAUUUCAUAUGUGUGACCACAGGGUCUUAUGUCAUGUCUAACGGAGCUCUACCCCCGUGAUUCCAAAGGAUCGUUGACUAUAUUGAAAUUUGGUCUUCUGUCUCUUUCUGUAUUCCUCAGGGUUUUGAUGACCUUGGUUUCUAAAUCUGCCUGGGAGGCAUUGUUUGACUCUGGUCUGAACAACAGGAGUUUUCGGCACAGGUGUGAUCAUGUUACCUGCACAGUGCGAGGUUAAGAAGACAAAUGGGGGUAGGCUAGAGGCAACAGCCAAAUCACAAUUUGCCAGAUCUGAAAAGACCUUAGAGAUUACCUAGCUGAAUUGUCCCCUGCUGUAGAUUUGUAAAUCGAGGCUCGAAGAGGUAGAAUAACUUUCCUAAAAAUCAUCAGAUAAAUGACAGGCAGAGUGGAGACUAGAUCUCCCAUCGCCAGACUUGGCCCAGUGCUCUGUCCACCAAAGCAUGUUGACUGCAUCAACUCUGGGUGCACCUUCUCCUCCUUUAUCAUCAGUCAGCGUUCAGGAAAGCACUGCUAGCAGUCAUUUACACCUUAGCAUGAAUUUAAGCCAACAUUUAGUUCUCCCAGGUGCAUUUGCUUUUUUUUUUUUUGAGAUGGAGUUUUGCUCUUGUCGCCCAGGCUAGAGUAUAAUGGUGUGAUCUCAGCUCAUUGCAACCUCCACCUCCCGGGUUCAAGCGAUUCUCCUGCCUCAGCCUCCUGAGUAGCUGGGAUUACAGGCACCUGCCACCACGCCUGGCUAAUUUUUGUAUUUUUAGUAGAGACGGGGUUUUGCCAUGUUGGUCAGGCUGGUGUCAAACUCCUGACCUUAGGUGAUCUGCCCACCUCGGCCUCCCAAAGUGCUGGGAUUACAGGCGUGAGCCACUGUGCCCAGCCGCAUUUGCUUUUGAGGUCUCAUCCCAUUGUAUAGAUUGUUCCCUGUCAAUGGCAUUUCCAGCACUGGUGAGAAGAGAGGCAAGGCAGGGCUUGUGAUUCUCAUCCCCAAGACCCUGCCACUUGCCUACUCGCUCGGGCAAUGAGGGCGGGCACUGCUUCCAGAGUUAAACUGCACUGGACCCAGAUCUAUGUGUCCAUAAGUCAGAGCAAGUUUGUCAGAAGCUGUCAGGGAGUAAGGCUGAGUAGACGGAUGGAGUCAGACUCAUUUAAAAAUGGAAUACCAGCAGAUAGGUUUAAAAAUGGAAUGCGGCCGGCUAGAGUGAAGGUGGUCCCUAAACCAAACACCUGUCCCUUCUGUGUGUUUUCUGGUUUCUUUCCCCAUUGCUCGAGAAUGCUAGAAGCCAGACUAGUAUUAAGAACUCUAAAUUCCUAGCCUGGCAUGGUGGUUUACACCUGUAAUCCCAGCAACUUGGGAGAUCAAGGCAGGAGGGGAUCACUUGAGCCCAGGAAUUUGAGACCAACCUGGGCAACGUGUUGAAACCCCAUCUCUACAAAAAAUACAAAAAUUAGUCAGGCAUGUGGUGCAUGCCUGUAGUCUCAGCUACUUGGGAGGUUGAGGUGGGAGGAUUGCUUAAGCCCAGGAGGUCGAGGCUGCAGUGAGCCAUGAUCGCGCCACUGCACUCUAGCCUGGGUGACAGAGCGAGACCUUGUCUCAAGACAAACAAACAAACAAACAAACAAAAAACUCUUAAGUUCUAAGUGCCUGGAGCAGGGAGUGUUUCUGAGGCCUCAUGUUUACCAGGGCACUGUGCUAUGUGCAGGGUAGUGAGGGGGAGAGACACCAUUCCAACAUCUUGGAGCCCAAGUCUAGAGUCAGGGCCACAGAGGCGGGAGAGGAAGAGAAUCCCACUGCAAAUGGGCUGGGCCUCCCUGCCUUUGCCCAUUGAGUGAGCAACAGUGCUGUUUCUAUAGGUCUCUUUGAGCCUUAAGCAUGGAAUGUGAUGAGACUGAACAGUGAUAAAAUGUAUUGAUGGAACUUCUGUUCAUUGAAAUGCAAAGGGGAAGAAAGAAUUUAGAAAUGAUCUGAGGUUUCCAGCUUGGGGAGAGAGAAAGUGAGAGGAAGUGGGGGCCUAAGGGGAAUGGAAUGAACAGCCCCGACUUCAGGCUUGUAGACUGCAAUGGGGCAAGGCAGCUACAUGCAAAUGUCCUUCCUGGAGCCUGGAAACAAGGUCAAAGCAGAGAUGGACAAGUAGGAGCGCAGCCUAGAGGAGAUAGGUGAUGCCUGAAGCCAUGAGAAGGGGUGUUAUCUCUGCAGGAAGAAGAAUUGCAACACUCCUCCCAGCUGAGCAAACAGUCUGGGCUGGGAUGUGAGUGGUAUCACACUCUGCACUCACUUCCUCCUUCAGUGGUCAUUUGAGAGUUCACUGGGGCUGACCUACCCCAUUGGUCCUGGAGGACAGAAAGGAAUGGAGAAUAAAGAAGGUCUAAGGUGCAGUUUUUCCCCCUCCUCCAAAGCCAUGAAGGGACCUAUGGAUUUGAAAGCUGUGUGUGGUCACUGUGGACAGAGUGACUCCUACCCCACUGGGGGGCUUUGCCAGCCAAGGCACAAAUCAAGCCUUCUCUUUGCCCUCUGAAGUCAAAGGGAGAAGACCGGGGUUGUCCAUCUUUAUAGGCAGCCUCAGAUGAUCCAACCUAAUAUACGUCAUUAACAAAUUGUGUGAUCUUGAACAAGUCAGUUUAUCUCAUUGUGACUCAAGUGAACAUAAGGGUAUAGAGCAUUUGCCCUGCUGACCUCACUGGAUCAUUGUGAAAUAAUAGCUAAUGAGAUGGUGCAUAGCAGGUGUUUUGUAAACUUAACAGUGAUAGGCAAAGCUUAGUUCCCAUGAGAAUGACUCUCUGACUAUUAUCUAUGGCAUUGGAAUACUGACCUCCCUUCUCUGAGAAAGCUCCAGCGGCAAAAUGCUUCUGAUCUCAAACUUUAGGACCAAUUUUCUGGUUUACAGGGCAGGACGAGCCCCUUCUCUUAAGGAUCAAGGGGAUGAAGGAGAAUUCCCUGCUUUUGGUGGGGGGUUACUUCUGAAAGCCAUGCCCUGCUCCCAUCUGAGGAGGUCACCCAGUCCUAGUUUUGUCUGGAAGCACCCUGCCCAGCCCCAGGGGCCAGCCCCAUCCCAGCCAGGCCUCAGAGAUGUCAGACCUGAAAGGCAGCUGCUGCCUCUCCUUCUGACAGGUGUCUCCGCCAGAGCUGGGAGAUGAGGAGAUAGGCGAGCUGAGCACCUUUCCUCCUUGAAUUGAUAACUGCUUUGCAAUGCAGCUCUGUACUUGCUAAAUGAAACCUCCUGCCCCACCAUGAUGGAUUUAUGGCUGAAACAUCUUAUCUCAACUGAGAAUAUUUUAUGAGUGUGCAUGGGUGUGUGUGGGAUAGGAGGAGGGAAAAGGCAGUUUUGCAAACAUUUCUAGAGGUGCUCCAUAAUCUGCCCUACCCUGAAGUAUUAUCUAGAAGCUCUUUCUAGAUCUGCCAGGCUUAAGCAUCUAUAAGUCUUCUCCAGAUGCUAGCACAAUGUAGAUGCCUCAUGAAACAUUUGCUGAUGAUGAUGAUGACGAUGAUGACGAUGAAGGCUGUGGUCUGGAAGGGGACUCUGUUUUUGAUAAGUUUAAUUCAAUCCAGCAAAUAUUGAACAAAUGCUCAUUUUUGUUCAGGGCUAGGAAAGCUACUAUUAUUAUUUUUUUGGUGGGGUGGAGAAAGGGGAGAGUUGGAGAAUAUAAAAAUAAAUGACACAAACUCUUUUCUCUACAUCCUUGGUCUAUACUGAGGGGCCAGGACAUGCACAUUCGGAGUGGAUGUGGAGCAGAAGGGGUUGGAGUGGCAAGAACUAAUGGCCCAGAGUGUAGCUUCAGGAGCUGGACACACCUGGUGGGAUCUUUAGGUAGUUUCUUGUCUUUUGAGCUCCUCAGUUUUCUCCCCUCUAACAGGGGGACAACACUAUUCCCUAGCUCUAAGGUUGGUGUGAAGGUCAUAGGAUUUGCGUAGGGGUUACUUGGUACCAUGUGGGGUCAGCAGCUCAGUAGCAUCACCAACACGAGGAUGAAGAUGAAGGACCGACUCACUGACGAGGGUGGGCUGGAGAUGACUGGGAGCCAGGAACCAUCACAAACUCAGGGCUCUGUGUGCACUGGUUAUCCCAUUCUUUUGCAACCUUGUAAAAUUAAUUUAAUAGGUAGUACAUCCAAGUGGUUUAAAAAGCAAAAGGUAUAAAGAAAUAUGCAGUGAAGAUGAAAAUUGCUCUCAGUUCUGACCCCUCACUAUUGUGCUCCUCCUUCUCAGAGGCAGCUGUUGUCAUUGGUUUCUGGGGCAUUCUUUCCAAGGGCGUUGUACACCCAGCAUCUAAUGAUGCUACCUCUUCUUCCUCUUUCUUGUUUUAACCCAAAAGGAGGAAUUGGGAGUUGAUGAUAGCCAUAGAGUGGAAGGCAGCAGCUGGAGGGAGGAAGCUGGAUGUAUCUGAGCAUCUACUACGUGCCAGGCCCAGAUGAAAUCUUAUCAGUUCUAGCGAAAUUUGGAGAAAGAUUCACUGUCUUAGAAUUUGAAAACAUCAGUGCUGGAGGGGAAGGUGGAAGCCAUCUGGCUAAUCUUCAUUUACUGAUAUGGAAGUGACUAGUCCAAAGUCCCAGAGCUUUCUGAUUUUUGCUUCUUCUUGCUAGGAAAGCAAUUAUCCUAUAAUAAUCCUUCUUUACAGGUAAAAAUAUUUUAUGGUGCACCUGCCUCCCUUGCCAGUGGAAUGACAGUCUCCAUAGACCUGUGGGCCAUCUGGGCCCUGGGCCAGCCUCCUUGUCUCACACUAGCUUGUUGGGGACCUGCCCUUGCUGGCACCCAUCAUUCCAGCUCCCUCCUGUUGUAACUCCUGCCCCAAAUCCCAGGACUUGUCGCUGCCAGCUUUUUCCCCUGUUGUUCCUUGUCUUCCCACCCUUCUCAGGACUCAGGUCACCAGGAUAGGUGGACAUCCAAUUCCUGCUGGAGUGCCAGCAGGAGAGAUUUGGGGAACUCUUCCAGGUAAAGGGGGUUUUACCUGCUAAGGGUUGACUUGUGUCUCCCCCACAAAUUCAAAUAGUGAAGUCCUAAACCUGCCAGUACUUCAGAAUGUAAUUAUCUUUGUAGAUAGGGUCUUUAAUGGGGUAAUUAAAUUAAAGUGAGGUCACUAGGGUGGGGCCUAAUCCAAUAUGACUGGUGUCCUUAUAAGAAGAGGAAAUUAGGACACAGACAGGCACAGAGCGAUGACCAUGUGAAGACACAGGGAAGAGAUGGCCACCUACCACCAAGCCAUGGUCACCUACCAUCCAAGCCAUGGUCACCUAUCACCAAGCCACAGUCAUCUACCAUCCAAGCCACCGUCACCUACCAUCCAAGCCAUGGCCACCUACCUGCCAAGCCAUGGCCACCUACCCGCCAAGCCAUGGUCACCUACCCACCAAGUCAUGGUCGCCUACCAUCCAAGGAGCGAGGCCUGGAACAGAUCCUUCCCCAGAGCCCUCAGUAGGAGCCAACCCUGCUGACACCUUGAUCUCAGACUUCAAGCCUCCAGAACUGUGGGACAAUCCUUCACUGUCAUUUAAUCCACCCAGCAUGUGGUCUCUUGUCACAGUUGCAUUAGCCAGUGAACCUACCCGGGCCCUUCUGCAGUCACCUGGCUCAGGAGUGGUUCUGGUCAGGAAGUUCUGAGGCCAGGCAGGAUCGGGACACUCCCUGGAAAGACCCGAGGGAGAUAUUUGGGAAACAAGAGGGCUGGUGUGGCUUCUCAACAUGCCCACCAUAAAUCCUGCGCCAUCCCAGGGCCGAUGGGACCUGCUGUGUGUGCGGUAAACUGAAUGCCAGGAAGCCAGGCUCUGUCGAUCCCUGGUUCUGACUGUUGUGGGAUCUUGAGCAAAUCCCCUCGCCUCUCUGGGUCUCAGUUUCCUGAUUUGUGGGAUGGAGAAAAGGAUUAACUGUCCCACUUACCUUGAGGCUGUGGUGUGGAUUAAAUGAUUAAAAUGCAUAAGUGCAAUUGCAAAAAUAUAGAACCAGCCCAUCAAUCAAUGAGUGUAUAAAGAAACUGUUGUGUAUAUAAUAUAUAUAAUGGAAUACUACUCAGUCAUAAAAAGGAAUGAAUUAAUGGCAUUCGCAGCAACCACGAUGAGAUUGAAGACUACUAUUCUCUUUUUUUGCUUUGUUUUUGAGAUGGAGUCUUCCUCUGUCACCCAGGCUGGAGUGCAGUGGCACGAUCUUGGCUCACUCCAACCUCCGCCUCCCAGGUUCAAGUGAUUUAAGAUUGGAGACUAUUAUUCUAAGUGAAGUAACUCAGGAAUGGAAAAGCAAACAUCAUAUGUUCUCACUCAUAAGUGGAGCUAAGCUGUGAGGAUGUAAAGGCAUAAGAAUGAUACAAUGGACUUUGGGGACUCAGGGGGAAAGGGUGGGAAAAGGGUGAGGGAUAAAAAGCUACAAAUUGGGUUCAGCGUACACUGCUUGGGUGAUGGGUGCACCAAAAUCUCACAAAUCCCCACUAAAGAACUUACUCAUGUAACCAAAUACCACCUGUUCCCCCCAAAUCUAUGGAAAUUAAAAAAAAUUAAAUAAAGUGUGCAAGUGCUGGCGAGGCCCCGAAGGAGCCCCACAUUGGUGAUGGCAACGCAGGUGACAGCACUUUCUCUCCCCAGUGGGGCUGGUGGUGCCCAUUCCUGGCUGCCCCACUCUGAGUCUGAGGAGGAACCAAGGCUUUCCUGGAAAUGCAGGGGCUGCCAUCGGCCUGUGGGCUUAGGGUCCCAAACAGGGAGAGCCCAUUGUUUGUCAUUUCUCCUCAGUAAGCAGAAAGCUCUAAGCCCUGAAGCCUCCGGUAAACGUCAGAACAUUUGGACAUCUGAGUCCAUUGUCUCCAGGUCUCAUAAUUUUCCUACAUUAAAAAUCCAAUAAUGCAUUUUGUGGAAAAUUUAGAAAGUACAGAUAAACAAGAGAAUAAAAAACAUGAAUUUUACCACUGUCAAAGCUGAAGGUCUAUCCUUCUAGCCUCUUCUUUAAAUGUGUGUAUUUUCAGAAAAAUGAAACCCUGUUGCACAUAAUACUUUAUAAGUUUUUUUUUUUUGACAAGGUCUCAUUCUGUUGUCCAGGCUAGAAUACAGUGUUAUGAUCAUAGCUCACGGCAGCUUCAAACUCCUGGCCUCAAGUGAUCCCACCUCAGCCUCCCAAAUUGCUGGGAUUCCAGAGCUCCAGGGUGGUGGCCUGAGGGAGGGAGCUGUCUGCUUCCCUUGAGGCCGAUGACCUGUGCCAUUCUUGACCAUCCCCUCACCAAGAGGAACUGAGACUG
rnacentral:lncRNA from 1 species